CUGAACUGAGAUCCCACCUGUGACAGUCUGACCAGUCUACAGACACAUGCAGGACUCAAUGCCUGGAUGUCUGAGGGAGCAUGGACAUGUCAUCAGGCGGAGGACUACCAUAAACUAAGACUCCCCUUCUGGCCCCCAUAAACUAGAAGGCCAGAGGGGAACACAAGAGAGCAGAAGCAAAACUUCCAAUCCCUUGACUUUCUAAGCAGCUCCUCUGAAGAGCUGCCAGCUGCGCUUCCUUCACUGGGCCUCUGCAGGGGAACACAAGCCUUUGAAGUGGUUAUGGCAUGUAGAAGAAAGAAAGUCAUACACAUCUGGGAUGGCAUGAGGGUGAGUAAAUGAUGAGAGAAUUUUCAUUUUUGGGUGAACUAUCCCUUUAACAUUUUCCACCGAAAGAAAUUAUACCUCAUGUUUAAGAGAACAGGUAUUUAUUUCAUUUCAUUUCGGUGUGUCUGCCAGGACAGUUUAAACAAAUUGUGAAGCAAGUAACAUAGGAUGUUUACCAUGUUGGUGAGCUCUUUGGCCAUUUUUAAAACAUCUUUCCUUUAAAAGUAUUCUGAUGGAAUUGACUACUUGGUCUGAUGCCUGCAUCAGUUCUGCUAAAGUAUUCCUUCACCAAUAGCUCCAGACAUCGCCAAGACAUUCAACAUACCUAAUUAAACUUAA